CAGUCGCCGCGGGAAUACGAAGGGGGCUAGCGUUGUUCGGAAUCACUGGGCGUAAAGCGCACGUAGGCGGACACUUAAGUCAGAGGUGAAAUCCCAAGGCUCAACCUUGGAACUGCCUUUGAUACUGGGUGUCUUGAGUUCGGGAGAGGUGAGUGGAACUGCGAGUGUAGAGGUGAAAUUCGUAGAUAUUCGCAAGAACACCAGUGGCGAAGGCGGCUCACUGGCCCGAUACUGACGCUGAGGUGCGAAAGCGUGGGGAGCAAACAGGAUUAGAUACCCCCGUAGUCCCUGUCUCUUAUAC
rnacentral:rRNA from 1 species